AAUUAUAUAGUCAAUAAAUAUGAUUUUGAAUUGCAAAUUCAAAGGAGGGUUAUUCCCUAUAAUUU
rnacentral:tRNA from 1 species